rnacentral:misc_RNA from 1 species
UUAAUUAUUAUAUAAUACUCUGACAAAAAUUACAAAAAUUAAGGGUUCUCUGGCAGGCUCGAACUAGCAAUAGCCAGUAGUUUUAUAACAGGCCUGCCAAAGCAACAUAGGGUAUUGUAAACAGAGGGUGGGAGAUAUACCCUAAAGGGCAAUUUCUCUGUAAUGAUCCUUCCGCAGGUUCACCUACGGAAA